rnacentral:rRNA from 1 species
GACGAACCGUGCGAACGUUGUUCGGAAUCACUGGGCGUUAAAGGGCGCGUAGGCGGCUCGCGAGGUCGGGGGUGAAAUCCCGCAGCUUAACUGCGGAAGGGCCUCCGAUACCGGCGGGCUGGAGGAAGGUAGGGGUGCGCGGAACUUCUGGUGGAGCGGUGAAAUGCGUUGAUAUCAGGAGGAACACCGGUGGCGAAGGCGGGUCUCUGGGCCAAAACUGACGCUGAGGAGCGAAAGCGUGGGGAGCGAACAGG